UACGUAGGGGGCGAGCGUUGUCCGGAUUUAUUGGGCGUAAAGGGCACGUAGGCGGCCAUUCAAGUCGAUCGUGAAAGCUCGGGGCUCAACCCCGAGACUGCGGUCGAUACUGGAUGGCUAGAGGCUGGUAGGGGGGUGUGGAAUUCCCGGUGUAGCGGUGGAAUGCGUAGAGAUCCGGAAGAACACCAGUGGCGAAGGCGGCCCGCUGGGCAGUGGCUGACGCUGAGGCGCGACAGCGUGGGGAGCAAACAGG
rnacentral:rRNA from 1 species